GGGCCCGCACAAGCGGUGGAGCAUGUGGUUCAAUUCGAAGCAACGCGAAGAACCUUACCAACCUUUGACAUGCCUCGUAUGGUCGCUGGAGACAGCUUCCUUCCCGCAAGGGGCGAGAGCACAGGUGCUGCAUGGCUGUCGUCAGCUCGUGUCGUGAGAUGUUGGGUUAAGUCCCGCAACGAGCGCAACCCUCGCCCUUAGUUGCCAUCAUUCAGUUGGGCACUCUAAGGGGACUGCCGGUGAUAAGCCGCGAGGAAGGUGGGGAUGACGUCAAGUCCUCAUGGCCCUUACAGGUUGGGCUACACACGUGCUACAAUGGCGGUGACAGAGGGAAGCAAUGGAGCAAUCCUGCGCAAAUCUCAAAAAGCCGUCUCAGUUCGGAUUGUGCUCUGCAACUCGAGCACAUGAAGUUGGAAUCGCUAGUAAUCGCAGAUCAGCACGCUGCGGUGAAUACGUUCCCGGGCCUU
rnacentral:rRNA from 1 species